rnacentral:rRNA from 1 species
AGGGUAACGGCUCACCAAGACUAUGAUGUCUAGGGGUUCUGAGAGGGAUGAUCCCCCACACUGGGUACUGAGACACGGACCAGACUCCUACGGGAGGGCAGCAGUGAGGAAUAUUGGGUCAAUGGGGCGCAAGCCUGAACCAGCCAUCCCGCGUGAAGGAUGAAGGCCCUAUGGGGUCGUAAACUUCUUUUAUACACCAAGAAAAAGCAGGACGUGUCCUGCCCCGACGGUAGUGUAUGAAUAAGCAUCGGCUAACUCCGUGCCAGCAGCCGCGGUAAUACGGAGGAUGCAAGCGUUAUCCGGAUUCAUUGGGUUUAAAGGGUGCGUAGGCGGCUUUUUAAGUCAGUGGUGAAAUCCUGUCGCUUAACGAUAGAAUUGCCAUUGAUACUGAAGAGCUCGAGUACAAUUGAGGUAAGCGGAAUGUGUAGUGUAGCGGUGAAAUGCUUAGAUAUUACACAGAACACCGAUUGCGAAGGCAGCUUACUAAACUGUUACUGACGCUGAUGCACGAAAGCGUGGGGAGCGAACAGG